GGGUCUAGUCAUCUUCCGGAAAGUAUUCCUAGGUUUGAAGGGAGUUUAAUAGGUCAAAAUGAGUCCAAGAGCCGACCUAGAACAUCCAAAAAGUUCUAGAACACUUUUGAAAUUUCCGGAACAACUUUUAUGACUUGGAAACUGUUAACGACACUGUCAUAAAAUUUUUCAGAAAAUUUUGGAAUGUUUUGGGGCUUUCCAGAAAUUAAUGGGAUGUUCUAGGUUAGCUCUUGGAUGUGUUUUGCCCCGCUAAACCCUUUCUAGCCUUAGAAUAUUCUUUAGAAGAUACAUGGACCU
rnacentral:pre_miRNA from 1 species